GCGCAGCAGGCGCGAAACUUCACAAUGUGCGAAAGCACGAUGAGGGAAUCCCAAGUGCUUGCACGUAAGUGUAAGCUGUUUCUCUGUCUAAAACGCAGAGAGAGUAAGGGCUGGGUAAGACGGGUGCCAGCCGCCGCGGUAAUACCUGCAGCUCGAGUGGUGACCGUUAUUAUUGGGCCUAAAACGUCCGUAGCCGGUUUAAUAAAUGCCUGGGUAAAUCGGACCGCUUAACGGUUCGAAUUCCGGGUAGACUGUUAAACUUGAGACCGGGAGAAGUUAGAGGUACUCCUGGGGUAGAGGUGAAAUUCUGUAAUCCUAGGGGGACCACCAGUGGCGAAGGCGUCUAACUAGAACGGGUCUGACGGUGAGGGACGAAGCCCCUGGGGCGCAAAACGGGGAUUAGAUACCCCCCGUAGU
rnacentral:rRNA from 1 species